rnacentral:rRNA from 1 species
UUGAACGCUGGCGGCAUGCCUUACACAUGCAAGUCGAACGGCAGGCACGGGAGCAAUCCUGGUGGCGAGUGGCGAACGGGUGAGUAAUAUAUCGGAACGUGCCCAGUCGUGGGGGAUAACGUAGCGAAAGCUACGCUAAUACCGCAUACGAUCUAUGGAUGAAANCGGGGGAUCGCAAGACCUCGCGCGAUUGGAGCGGCCGAUAUCAGAUUAGGUAGUUGGUGAGGUAAAGGCUCACCAAGCCGACGAUCUGUAGCUGGUCUGAGAGGACGACCAGCCACACUGGGACUGAGACACGGCCCAGACUCCUACGGGAGGCAGCAGUGGGAAUUUUGGACAAUGGGCGCAAGCCUGAUCCAGCAAUGCCGCGUGCAGGAUGAAGGCCUUCGGGUUGUAAACUGCUUUUGUACGGAACGAAACGGUGAGCUCUAAUACAGUUUGCUAAUGACGGUACCGUAAGAAUAAGCACCGGCUAACUACGUG